CAGUUAUUUUGGUAUUGUGGGCUGACCUAUUCAGGAUCUAAGUCUAGCUGACUCCAAACAGCUACAAGAUAAGCUGGGAUAGAAGUCAGGUGUUCCUCAUGCACUGUAAAGAGAGCGUGGGAUAGUUAGCCACAGAAAGAACCCUUGGGUUAAAAUAUUUAAAUUUGACUUUAACCAAUGUUAGGUCUUAGUUUGUAUUGAAUUUAUGAAAUGCUGAUAAAGGCAUUGUAGUCCUGUGGCCCUAAGGAUUACAGCCACGGCAGAUUUUAGGAAAAAUCUCGGAGUGGUACCCAGCACACAGCUGCACACAGAAUUAGAGUAGAGAGUGCAGUUCUGGUGUCAAGGACUGUGAUGUAAAUGAUGGAUGAAGCCCGAGGAGAAAGAUUUCUAAACGGUUGCACGAAAGGAGCUUACAGUUAUCAAAGCCUUCUAAUGCUUCUGAAACAUGUCUGAAAAUUCUGAUGUCAGCGCGGAGUAACAGUGUUGAUUUCAGGAUUCCAGCUCAAAACGAUAUGCAAUUAUCAAAAAUAUCUUCAGAGGAAAAUGCACAGCUUGAUAGUUAUGGACAAAAUGACAGCAUUUUUUGAAAAAAUUGAAGUUCAGCUCCUGAAUCAGCUUUUCUGCAGCGCAGUGAAUUGUUCUGGAUGCUGACCUACCAGGAGCUGCCUUUAGACCCGAUGUAUUGAAAAUGAUCUUUUUUCUCUGGGAAAAAAUUAUACACAAGUAACUUUUCUUUGUAACUAAAGUGGUUAGUCUUUCACCACCGAGAAUAAACUGAAUCCAAAGAAGACUGUGAAUUCUUGCUGUCACAGUCCAAUCCCAUACUCAAGGAAUCUGAUACUUUAAAAGCUUUGAUGGCUAUCUAUCUUUUUCACUUGCUCUCCAUUUUAUGAGGUGCCAGUAUGUUGUCGAACCACACAUCCAGAAGAAGGUGUUGUGUGGAACUCUAAGGAGUGUUUCUGGUCUGGUGUCAGGGUCAAAAAGUUAUUUCCAGCCUAAAUUGCUGGCUCCAUUACAAACGUUUGUCACAACCAGUUAUAUCAAUGAUUUUAAAACCAAUGAAAAUGAGGUUGAGGACAAAAGCAAGACAUGUCUUUAGUUAAAAAAAGGACAUUUAUUAAAGAGUGAAAAUAUGUUAAGCAUCAAUCUGACAAAACGUAGAAGAC
ensembl:lncRNA